UCCCUCAGCUGUCCGUCUCCGCCUCCCUCCUCACUCGAGGGUCCACCCUACUUUCCAUGUCUCCCGCAUCAAACCCGUGCUUUCCAGCACAUUGUGCCCCUCAGCCGAGCCCCCUCCUCCCGCCCAGGACUUCCAAGGGCGCCGGAUCCAGAGGAUUGUGGAUUCCCGUCGGCGGGGAAGAGGCUGGCAGUACCUCGUCGACUGGGAGGGCUGCAGUCCCGAGGAGCGGUCAUGGGUAUCCGGCUCCUCCAUCCCUGAUCCUGCUCUUCUUGAUUCCUUCCUGGCCUCUCGUCCCUCCACAUCUUCCUCGCUGUCGCCAGGUGGCGACCGUUGAGGGGGGGGUGGUGUCAGGACUCAGCAGGUAGUGUUGUGCUUUUUCUGCCCCUGCUUUCUGCACAGGUGACUGGAGUUGACUGGUGGGCGUGGUACACACCUGAGGCUCGUUCUGUGGUUACCUGUCUGCGCUAUAAAAGGAGCUCUCUGACAGCUGGAGGAUGCCAGAGUGUUAACCUUGUGUGAACGCUCCCUCGACUCUAAACCUGCUCCGGGCGUUUCCCCAGUGCUCGCCUGGUGUCUCCAGCUGAUCGCUGAUCACUGCUCCCAACGGCGCAGCUUGGAUCCUGCACGAGUUUCCCCGGCCCGCUCAUCGGUCACCCAGUCACCGGAUCACCUCACCCAGGCAGCGCUGAGUCCGCUCCUCCACACCACCUCCCCAGUGCGCUUUCUGAGCUCAGUGCUCGUGCAAACCCCGGUCCCGUGACUCUGCCUGACGCUGACUCAUUGUUUAGUUUUCUCGUUUCUCUGAAUUUAUUUCUGAGCUUUAAUAAAACCCUGAAUCUGCUUCCUGUCUCCCGAGUGUUGUCUGCAUGUGGGCCAAACA